rnacentral:lncRNA from 1 species
GUGAGUUUUCUGAUAGUGUCUCACAUCUAAAACUCUUUCUCCUAUUUCUCAUCUUUAGAAGACUCCAAAUCAAGAAGAAUGAGGCAUCUGAUCGACCAUCGAAGAAGGAUCAGCACAGUACUAGCAUACUGUGCUGAUUUUGUGGACCAAGACUUCUGAUCGUGAUUCGUGGGCUUGUGUGGAUAACUCCUAGAGGCCAGACGUAUGUGCGGCUUGCAACAUCAUCCUCAAUCUCAGAUCAGCAAAGUUAGAAUGUCUAACUUGCAAGGUAAUAGAUCUAAUCUAUUAUAUUUUACAUACAUUAGAU